rnacentral:rRNA from 1 species
UACGUAGGGUGCGAGCGUUAAUCGGAAUUACUGGGCGUAAAGCGUGCGCAGGCGGUUUUGUAAGUCAGAUGUGAAAUCCCCGGGCUUAACCUGGGAACUGCGUUUGAAACUACAAGGCUAGAGUGUGGCAGAGGGGGGUGGAAUUCCACGUGUAGCAGUGAAAUGCGUAGAUAUGUGGAGGAACACCGAUGGCGAAGGCAGCCCCCUGGGCUAAGAUUGACGCUCAUGCACGAAAGCGUGGGGAGCAAACAGG